rnacentral:lncRNA from 1 species
AGAGCAGUAAAGCCAAUCCACUGAAGUGCAGCGUUAUACAGGAGUUUUUGUUUAGUUCUCCAGCAGUUUUAGCAUUAGCUGCUAACUGCGCUUAGCACUAACUCUUUGGCUGUACAGAGGGGAUUCCUCAGAGUAGACUCUCUGUUUCAAAGGUAAUUACCAAGAAAGCGCCAACAAGGAAGCAGCUAGACCAUCUCCAUUUCUACUACAGGUUGACAGCUUAAAAGAGAAGAUGACUCCAUGUCUUCAUCUACCGGCUGAAGAUGAAGAGCUAAGAGUUAUUGACCUUCCGUUCUGCAAACAUUAUGGGGACUGGCUUAUUUAACCAAGGAGACAUGCUGCAGGUGGCCGUGGCUUAGAAGAAGGUGUUCCCCUUGAAUCUCCAUUGGCCAGCUGGUUUUGGACUGACUGCUGGUUCCCUGAACCCUCAUCUGAGACUGACCACACCCACCCUGCCAGUUUCAAGUGUUCUUCCAAACACAGGAGCGAACCGCUUUCAGUGCACAACAGCAGCAGAUACUUUUUCCAGUGAAAUUUCAUACAAAAGUUCUGUUUAAUGUUCUAUUUAAUCGCUAAGCAAGUGUUUCACUCCAUUAAAAAGCUCACGUUAGCGAGAUGUGCUAAAUAUUCAUGUGAAAGUAUGAUAGUUAUCUAGUCAGUGUGAGUCAGU